UACGAAGGGUGCAAGCGUUACUCGGAAUUACUGGGCGUAAAGCGUGCGUAGGUGGUUUGUUAAGUCUGUUGUGAAAGCCCCGGGCUCAACCUGGGAAUGGCAAUGGAUACUGGCAAGCUAGAGUGCGGUAGAGGGUAGUGGAAUUCCCGGUGUAGCGGUGAAAUGCGUAGAGAUCGGGAGGAACACCGGUGGCGAAGGCGGCGACCUGGGUAGAUACUGACGCUGAGGCGCGAAAGCGUGGGGAGCAAACAGG
rnacentral:rRNA from 1 species